CUUCCAGAGGAAACAGGAGGAGGAAACGGAUUGAGCACAAAGGGCAGAAACAGAGGAGACCGAUCGCAGUAACCACACCGGAGCUCUCGUUGGACGGAGAAGCCAGGGACUGAUUGUUAGAAGGCCCCAUGAAGUGAUACUCUGCCCUUCUGCCUCGAGGUCAGUGCCCUGGAGAAGAUGACAGUGCAGUGCAACAGCGCCAAGAGGCUGCAGGACCGAGCAUGACUGCGACAGAGCCACUUCCACCGAUGCCCCGAGUGUGUGCUGCAGCCCCUGCCUUUGCAGAUAAGACUCUAGACUGUUUUACUGGACUUCCUUGCCACUCAGUUUUUAGCUAUCCUCAUUUUACCACUUUUAGUCUUUCACCCGUGUUUUUAACCUGAUUUUAUUCUGUGAAUAAACAUCAGUGUUUCUGCUCAAGGA